rnacentral:rRNA from 1 species
UGAGGAAUAUUGGUCAAUGGUCGAGAGACUGAACCAGCCAAGUCGCGUGAAGGAUGACUGCCCUAUGGGUUGUAAACUUCUUUUACAAGGGAAUAAAAUGAGAUACGUGUAUUUUAUUGCAUGUACCUUGGGAAUAAGCAUCGGCUAACUCCGUGCCAGCAGCCGCGGUAAUACGGAGGAUGCGAGCGUUAUCCGGAUUUAUUGGGUUUAAAGGGUGCGUAGGUGGGCUGUUAAGUCAGCGGUGAAAGUUUGUCGCUUAACGAUAAAAUUGCCGUUGAAACUGGUAGUCGUGAGUAUAGAUGAAGUAGGCGGAAUGCGUGGUGUAGCGGUGAAAUGCAUAGAGAUCACGCAGAACUCCGAUUGCGAAGGCAGCUUACUAAGGUAUAACUGACACUGAAGCACGAAAGCGUGGGUAUCAAACAGG